rnacentral:rRNA from 1 species
GAUGAACGCUGACAGAAUGCUUAACACAUGCAAGUCAACUUGAACUUCGGUUUGGGUGGCGGACGGGUGAGUCACGCGUAAAGAACUUGCCUCACAGAUAGGGACAACAUUUGGAAACGAAUGCUAAUACCUGAUAUUAUGAUUAUAUGGCAUCGUAUAAUUAUGAAAGCUAUAUGCGCUGUGAGAGAGCUUUGCGUCCCAUUAGCUAGUUGGAGAGGUAACGGCUCACCAAGGCGAUGAUGGGUAGCCGGCCUGAGAGGGUGAUCGGCCACAAGGGGACUGAGACACGGCCCUUACUCCUACGGGAGGCAGCAGAGGGGAAUAAUGGACAAUGGACCAAGAGUCUGAUCCAGCAAUUCUGUGUGCACGAUGAAGUUUUUCGGAAUGUAAAGUGCUUUCAGUUGGGAAGAAAAAAAUGACGGUACCAACAGAAGAAGUGACGGCUAAAUACGUG